AUUGAACGCUGGCGGCAGGCCUAACACAUGCAAGUCGAGCGAGCGGCGGACGGGUGAGUAAUGUAUGGGGACUGCCCGAUAGAGGGGGAUCACUACUGGAAACGGUAGCUAAUACCGCAUACUAUCGGAUAACCCAUAGGGGAUUAGCUAGUAGGUGAGGUAAUGGCUCACCGAGGCUACGAUGCCUAGCUGGUAUGAGAGGAUGAUCAGCCACACUGGGACUGAGACACGGCCCAGACUCCUACGGAGGCAGCAGUGGGGAAUAUUGCACAAUGGGCGCAAGCCUGAUGCAGCCAGGCCGCGUGUAUGAGGAAGGCCCUAGGGUUGUAAAGUACUGUCAGUCGGGAGGCGUUACCGACAGAAGAAGCACCGGCUAACUCCGUGCCAGCCGCCGCGGUAAUUC
rnacentral:rRNA from 1 species